UCUCACCAAAACACCACCGCAAGCGAAAAUCCUCUUUCUCCUCACCACUUACCAUCAUCACUCAACUCUUUCUCUGAAGUCAAGUGAGAUGAUGACUCUAAACUUGAUAAUUAAACAACCAUGAUCUAUCGAUCUUUCACUUGUGAUUUUUCAGAGAUGAAAACCCUAGCCGUUUCUCCACUUUACAUACUUUUUGCAAGAUGAUUUUCUUUCUGUAAUUUGAACUGAUUUCAAUUCAAAUCUGUUUUUCGCUGAGUUUCAGACACUCCAAAUUUCAGAUAGGGCAUCUGUUUAGGUAAGGUUUACGGAUCUUUAGCUCGUGAUGGAAAGGUUAGAGGGAAAACUCUAGCUAAACUAGACAAGAAAACCAGCCUAGAGGUAGAGCUCACAUGAGGAAUCUAAUAACUGCCGAGUACUCUCCUAAGAAGGCCAAUGGUGGUGCAACAACCCAAGACUUUUGUAGUUAUGGUGGACAACACUCUCAUGGCCUGGAGCAAAGGAAGAAUACAUGCAACCAAACACAGAGUAAUGGUGAAGGAGAAAAGAAAGAUUCUCGACUCAAUGCUACAACAUCCUCCAAACGCAAAAUGUUGUUGGAGUAUUGGAUUGUUAUAGUGCAAGGGUUCAAGCAACGUGCAACAGGAAUCAUGGAUGAUCCAUAUCUAAUCCCUGAUAUGUAUCUGAUAAGAAGCAGUUGCCUGUAGGUAAUAUUAAGAAAUGCAAACUCCUUUAAACACUAAUUUGGUUUGGUUACUUUGCUUUUAUCUGCCAAACAGCAUCCUCAAGCAUCAAUAAUAAGCCGAUGUCAUAGAAUUUGUUGUUUUACUAGUACUAGAUAGUAUAUCUUUCUGGUUUUAAUUUGAGAAAAUGAAUAUCAGUAUAUGCUAAUGUCAUGUCAAUUUCUUAAUCUGAUUGUUCCAAUUGUUUUUCAGAGGCCAAAGUCCAAAGUUUUUAUUUUUCAUAUUAUAUUCUGUGACUGUGAGAUCAUAAUGACGCAGCCUGUUUGGUGUUUGCAUUUACACCCUAACCGCACAAUAUUCGAGGAGUUAGACUGAACCUGGUAGUGCGUAUAAAAAAUGUUGUUUUAAACCAUAAGAGUUGCAAGUUUCUUAAGAUUUUGAGCCCCACUUUUUUACGAGGAUAUCGUGAGUAAAAUGUUUAUGGUACGAGUUGCAGGUGCAAGGGUUCAAGCAACAUGCAACAGGGAACAUGGAUGAUCCAUAUCUAAUCCCUGGUAUGUAUCUGAUAAGAAGCAGUUGCCUGUAGGACUUGCUCGGAAACUUGUUCGAAGACCCUUUUUGAGGCGGGUGGUGUUCCCUGUAAAAUGGCGGAAAGCAUGUGGCUCCAUACUCAUCUUAUCCAAGAUUUGAUCUCUAUUUCUCGAACAAGUGUUCCUAAAUACCGAGGCUGGUGUUGUGAAAUUGGAUACUUCGUUGUCGUUGAUGACUUAGAGCUCGACUAAUUUCCAGUGAGACCAUGAAGUGGGUGUUGCUCUCUUAGCAACUGAUGGAAAAUCAAAGUGGGAGAAGAAACUUGGACAUUGUGGUUUUCAUUGUAGUUUUCUUAUGGCAUCCUUUUCCAGCCAACGGCGGAAAAUCUGAAUUACUACAACUCCGAAUCCAGAAAUGCUACUUAAAUGUAUGAAUUCAUUAUAAUUGAAUACUUUUUUUUUUUUUGUGAUUUUGAAUCCAAGUAUGAAUUCAGUUAUGAAGUGUUAUGAGUUCAGUCAUGAAUAGAUGUAACAAUGAACUUCUAUUUGAAUUUAUGAAUCCAGGUCUGAUUUUAGUGUAA